rnacentral:rRNA from 1 species
UGGGGAAUAUUGCACAAUGGGCGCAAGCCUGAUGCAGCAACGCCGCGUGAGGGACGACGGCCUUCGGGUUGUAAACCUCUUUAGUAGGGAAGAAGCGAAAGUGACGGUACCUGCAGAAAAAGCACCGGCUAACUACGUGCCAGCAGCCGCGGUAAUACGUAGGGUGCGAGCGUUGUCCGGAAUUAUUGGGCGUAAAGAGCUCGUAGGCGGUCUGUCGCGUCUGCUGUGAAAACCCGAGGCUCAACCUCGGGCCUGCAGUGGGUACGGGCAGACUAGAGUGCGGUAGGGGAGAAUGGAAUUCCUGGUGUAGCGGUGGAAUGCGCAGAUAUCAGGAGGAACACCGAUGGCGAAGGCAGUUCUCUGGGCCGUAACUGACGCUGAGGAGCGAAAGCGUGGGGAGCGAACAGGAUUAGAUACCCUGGUAGUCCACGCGUAAACGUUGGGCGCUAGAUGUGGGGCACCAUUCCACGGUUUCCGUGUCGCAGCUAACGCAUUAAGCGCCCCGCCUGGGGAGUACGGCCGCAAGGCU